UGGGGAAUCUUGCACAAUGGGGGCAACCCUGAUGCAGCGACGCCGCGUGAGCGAUGAAGCCCUUCGGGGCGUAAAGCUCUUUCGACCGGAACGAUAAUGACGGUACCGGGGGAAGAAGCUGCGGCUAACUACGUGCCAGCAGCCGCGGUAAUACGUAGGCAGCAAGCGUUGUUCGGAGUUACUGGGCGUAAAGAGUGCGUAGGCGGUUUUCUAAGUUCGGUGUGAAAUCUCCCGGCUUAACUGGGAGGGUGCGCCAAAGACUGGGAAGCUGGAGUGUGGGAAAGGCAGGCGGAAUUCCUGGUGUAGCGGUGAAAUGCGUAGAUAUCAGGAGGAACACCGGCGGUGUAGACGGCUUGCUAGACCAUAACUGACGCUGAGGCACGAAAGCGUGGGUAGCAAACA
rnacentral:rRNA from 1 species